GAUUAACGCUGGCGGCGUGCAUAACACAUGCAAGUCGAACGAUGAAACUCAUUAGAUUUCUUCGGAAUGAAAAUGAAUGGAUUAGUGGCGAACGGGUGAGUAACGCGUGAGUAACCUGCCUUACACAAGGGGAUAGCCUCUGGAAACGGAGAAUAAUACCCUAUGAAACCAGACAAUCGCAUGAUAAUCUGGUCAAAAUGUUUAGUGGUGUAAGAUGGACUUGCGUCUGAUUAGCUAGUUGGUGAGAUAAAAGCUCACCAAGGCAACGAUCAGUAGCCGGCUUGAGAGAGUGUACGGCCACAUUGGGACUGAGACACGGCCCAGACUCCUACGGGAGGCAGCAGUGGGGAAUUUUGCACAAUGGGGGAAACCCUGAUGCAGCGACGCCGCGUGAUUUAGAAGGCCUUCGGGUUGUAAAAAUCUUUUGUAUAGGAAGAAAAUGACAGUACUAUACGAAUAAGGUCCGGCUAAUUACGU
rnacentral:rRNA from 1 species